rnacentral:rRNA from 1 species
ACUCCUACGGGAGGCAGCAGUGGGGAAUAUUGCACAAUGGGCGCAAGCCUGAUGCAGCCAUGCCGCGUGUAUGAAGAAGGCCUUCGGGUUGUAAAGCACUUUCAGUAGGGAGGAAGGUAGUGUAGUUAACACCUGCAUUAUUUGACGUUACCUACAGAAAGCACUGCUGAACUCCGUGCCAGCAGCCGCGGUAAUACGGAGGGUGCGAGCGUUAAUCGGAAUUACUGGGCGUAAAGCGCAUGCAGGCGGCCUGUUAAGUCAGAUGUGAAAGCCCGGGGCUUAACCUCGGAAUUGCAUUUGAAACUGGCAGGCUAGAGUCUUGUAGAGGGGGGUAGAAUUUCAGGUGUAGCGGUGAAAUGCGUAGAGAUCUGAAGGAAUACCAGUGGCGAAGGCGGCCCCCUGGACAAAGACUGACGCUCAGAUGCGAAAGCGUGGGGAGCAAACAGGAUUAGAUACCCUGGUAGGAUAG